rnacentral:rRNA from 1 species
UACAGAGGUCCCGAGCGUUGUUCGGAUUCAUUGGGCGUAAAGGGUGUGUAGGCGGUGUGUUAAGUCAGAUGUGAAAGCCCCGGGGCUCAACCUCGGAACUGCAUCCGAUACUGGCAUGCUAGAGAAUUGGAGAGGAGUCUAGAAUUCACGGUGUAGCAGUGAAAUGCGUAGAUAUGCGGAGGAACACCGAUGGCGAAGGCAAUCCCCUGGGCCUGCACUGACGCUCAUGCACGAAAAGCGUGGGGGAGCAAACAGG